UACGUAGGGACCGAGCGUUGUCCGGAUUCAUUGGGCGUAAAGAGCUCGUAGGCGGCUGCUCAAGUCGAAUGUGAAAACUCGAGGCUCAACCUCGAGCCUGCAUUCGAUACUGGGCGGCUAGAGUCUGGUAGGGGGAUCUGGAAUUUCUGGUGUAGCGGUGGAAUGCGCAGAUAUCAGGAGGAACACCGGUGGCGAAGGCGGGUUGCUGGGCUGACACUGACGCUGAGGCGCGAAAGCCAGGGGAGCGAACGGG
rnacentral:rRNA from 1 species